UUUGUUUGAAUUGUAGAGUAGAAUCUAAAUUUGAAGUAUUGAUGGAAACAAAAAGCAUAAAAUUUAUUUUAGGGACCAGGAUUAGAUACCCUGUUACUUUUAACUAAAAGAUUUUGGAAUAAUAGUAUUAAUGAAAUUUAACGGAUUUGGCGGCAAGAUAGCCCCUUAGAGGAACCUGCCCUGUAAACGAUGAACCACGAGGGACUCUACUUUUUUUGGUAAUUCAGUUUGUAUAUCGCUGUUGUCAGUUAGAUUCUUGAGAAUAUUUUCGAACAUGAUAAAGUCAUUGACUUCAAGUAAAGGUGCAGCUUAUAGAAAAGAUAGAGGUGGGUUACAUUUAUAAGAUUAAAACGGAUAAGAUAAAUGAAAUAUUCUUUGAAGGUGGAUUUAACUGUAAAACUUAAAUAAGUUUGGUGAGAGCUCUAUCUUGUGUACACACCGCCCGUCGCUCUCUUUUUUAAAAC
rnacentral:rRNA from 1 species